AGCGACUGUGCAGGUUACCGCGGCUGCUGGCACGGAGUUAGCCGGUGCUUCUUCUGCGAGUAACGUCACAGCUAGCAGGUAUUAACUACUAACCUUUCCUCCUCGCUUAAAGUGCUUUACAACCCGAAGGCCUUCUUCACACACGCGGCAUGGCUGCAUCAGGGUUUCCCCAUUGUGCAAUAUUCCCCACUGCUGCCUCCCGUAGGAGUCUGGGCCGUGUCUCAGUCCCAGUGUGGCUGAUCAUCCUCUCAGACCAGCUAGGGAUCGUUGCCUAGGUGAGCCAUUACCUCACCUACUAGCUAAUCCCACCUGGGCUUAUCCAUCAGCGCAAGGACCGAAGUUCCCUGCUUUCCCCCGUAGGGCGUAUGCGGUAUUAGCAGUCGUUUCCAACUGUUAUCCCCCACAAAUGGGCAAAUUCCCAGGCAUUACUCACCCGUCCGCCGCUCGUCAUCUUCAAAAGCAAGCUUUUGAAAUGUUACCGCUCGACUUGCAUGUGUUAGGCCUGCCGCCAGCGUUCAA
rnacentral:rRNA from 1 species